CUUGACUUUGGGAUAACUUCAGGAAACUGGGGCUAAUACCGGAUAGGAGCUCCUGCUGCAUGGUGGGGGUUGGAAAGUUUCGGCGGUUGGGGAUGGACUCGCGGCUUAUCAGCUUGUUGGUGGGGUAGUGGCUUACCAAGGCUUUGACGGGUAGCCGGCCUGAGAGGGUGACCGGCCACAUUGGGACUGAGAUACGGCCCAG
rnacentral:rRNA from 1 species